UCAAGAUGGACAUCUGUGGGGAGGCGCC
rnacentral:piRNA from 1 species